rnacentral:rRNA from 1 species
UGAGGAAUAUUGGUCAAUGGUCGCAAGACUGAACCAGCCAUGCCGCGUGCAGGAAGACGGUCCUAUGGAUUGUAAACUGCUUUUAUACAGGAAGAAACCCUCCCACGUGUGGGAGCUUGACGGUACUGUAGGAAUAAGGAUCGGCUAACUCCGUGCCAGCAGCCGCGGUAAUACGGAGGAUCCAAGCGUUAUCCGGAAUCAUUGGGUUUAAAGGGUCCGUAGGCGGUCUUAUAAGUCAGUGGUGAAAGCCCAUCGCUCAACGAUGGAACUGCCAUUGAUACUGUAAGACUUGAAUGCUUAGGAAGUAACUAGAAUAUGUAGUGUAGCGGUGAAAUGCUUAGAUAUUACAUGGAAUACCAAUUGCGAAGGCAGGUUACUACUAAGUGAUUGACGCUGAUGG